rnacentral:rRNA from 1 species
UACGUAGGGGGCAAGCGUUGUCCGGAUUUAUUGGGCGUAAAGAGCUCGUAGGCGGUUUGGUAAGUCUGGUGUGAAAUCUCCACGCUCAACGUGGAGGGGCCACCCGAUACUGCCAUGACUGGAGUCCGGUAGAGGAGUGUGGAAUUCCCGGUGUAGCGGUGAAAUGCGCAGAUAUCGGGAGGAACACCCGUAGCGAAGGCGGCUCACUGGCCCGUUACUGACGCUGAGGCACGAAAGCGUGGGGAGCAAACAGG